rnacentral:rRNA from 1 species
GACGUAGGAGGCGAGCGUUGUCCGGAAUCAUUGGGCGUAAAGCGCGCGUAGGUGGCCCCUGUAAGUCCGUUGUGAAAGUCAAAGGCUCAACCUUUGAAAGCCGAUGGAUACUGCAGGACUAGAGUACGGAAGAGGCGAGUGGAAUUCCUGGUGUAGCGGUGGAAUGCGCAGAUAUCAGGAGGAACACCAAUAGCGAAGGCAGCUCGCUGGGACGUUACUGACACUGAGGCGCGAAAGCGUGGGGAGCGAACAGG